CCAGACUCCUACGGGAGGCAGCAGUGAGGAAUAUUGGUCAAUGGGCGGGAGCCUGAACCAGCCAAGUCGCGUGAGGGAAGACGGUCCUACGGAUUGUAAACCUCUUUUGCCGGGGAGCAACGGGGUCCUUGCGAGGGCCCAAUGAGAGUACCCGGAGAAAAAGCAUCGGCUAACUCCGUGCCAGCAGCCGCGGUAAUACGGAGGAUGCGAGCGUUAUCCGGAUUUAUUGGGUUUAAAGGGUGCGUAGGCGGGCUGACAAGUCAGAUGUGAAAUCCGGGGGCUCAACCCCCGAACUGCAUUUGAAACUGUUGGUCUUGAGUAUCGGAGAGGCAGGCGGAAUUCCUAGUGUAGCGGUGAAAUGCGUAGAUAUUAGGAGGAACACCAGUGGCGAAGGCGGCCUGCUGGACGACAACUGACGGUGAGGCGCGAAAGCGUGGGGAGCAAACAGGAUUAGAUACCCUUGUA
rnacentral:rRNA from 1 species